UUUGGGCGCGUCUCCCUUCUCGGGAGACUCUCUCAACCCCACGAACCCUUGACCUCAAAUCGGGUGAGACUACCCGCUGAACUUAAGCAUAUCAAUAAGCGGAGGAAAAGAAACUAACAAGGAUUCCCCUAGUAACUGCGAGUGAAGCGGGAAAAGCUCAAAUUUGAAAUCUGGCGGUCUCUGGCC
rnacentral:rRNA from 1 species